AUUAGCCAGGCAUGGUGGCACAUGCCUGUGAUCCCAGCUACUCAGGAGACUGAUUUAGGAGAAUUGCUUGAACCUGGGAGGUGGAGGUUGCAGUGAGCCAAGAUCGCACCAUUGCACUCUGGCCUGGGCAACAAGAACGAAACUCUGUCCCAAGAAAAAGAAAAAGAAAAAAAAAAGAUAAAUGCUUAAGAUAAUGAAUAACUCAUUUACUCUGUCAUUUAUAUAUUGUAUGCCUGUAUCAAAAUAACCCAUAUAUACCAUAAAUAUAUACAUAGUUAUGUACCCACAAAAACUUUUUAAAAAUUUAAAUAAGAAUAAAAAUGCAACAUGGGAACAAUAUUCAGUUUACUUGCUGUUUAAAGCCAUUGGAAAAAUAGACUAGAAAUGUCAUUCAGCUAUGUUAUCAGAUAGUACAUUGUUAGCAUCUCUUACCUACACCCUUGAGUAAGGUGGAAUAGGUGAAAGUUGGUGGCAUAACACAUCAUUCAAGGCACAAUAAUUUCUACACAUUAAUAAUUUUAUUUAAAAAAUUAAGGCCAGGCGCGAUGGCUCACGCGUGGAAUCCCAGCACUUUGAGAAACUGAGGCGGGUAGAUCACCAGGUCAGGAGCUCAAGACCAGCCUGGUCAAUAUGCUGAAACCCUGUCUCUACUAAAAAUACAAAAUGUGGCCAGGCCUGGUGGUGUGUGUCUGUAAUCCCAGCUACUCAGGAGGCUGAGGCAAGAGAAUCACUUGAACCUGGGAGGCGGAGGUUGCAGUGAGCCAAGAUUGUGCCACUGCACUCCAGGCUGGGCAAUAGAUUGAGACUCCGUCUCAAAAAAAAAAAAUUAAGUUCACACAUGAUCUUAAAAGACAAUUUUAAAAUUUACAGCAUUUUAUUAUUAAAUAAAUGUACAAUUGGUAAAACAAUUUACUACUAAAAUUCAGAUUGUUUCUCACAAUAAUGCAAAAUGUUACUCUGAACACCUACUUCAUGCAUCACUCUAAGUCAACCACAAAAAUCCUCUCUGCUUAGAUUUUCCUCAGGCAUCUUUCAUUUGUUUUUUCUCUUUCAUGUAAAAGUUCAUGAAUACUGCCCACCUAAUGGAAUUUCUCAUAUCUCUGGUGCAGCAAUAAUUCAUCACAUGCUUUCACAUAAAUGAGAAAACUGAAAUACUAUAAUUUUGGAUUUGAAUUAUUUGCUUUUCAAAAAAUCUAUACUUUUUUUCAAGUAAAAAAAUAUACUUUGAACGAAAUCUCUUCAAAAAUCUACUUCUUUUCAACUUAUAUACGCA
rnacentral:lncRNA from 1 species